AGCAAAAUCACCAGUGUUAAAUUUUCAGGGAUGGUGUUAAAUACACAGUGUUGAUGCUGUUUUAACACUAUCUGGUAAUAAAAUAACACUGCCAUUGCUAGGCCAGUGUUAUAUUCACGACAGUGUCAGUGUUAAACAAGGGUGUUAUCAGAUUUCACUCUGAGCGGUGUAAAUCAAGCCACGCCUCCACUAAACAUAUCCUGUCAGGGAUUUUACCGCCAUUUUCUUUCACAGGAGGACUGAAGAGAUCAGAUGCUAGUUUGGUGAAAGUUCACACUGAGUGCUUCAAAUCAUUCAGACGAGAUGCUGUUUUUAGGGCAGUUUAUUAAAGAAGACCUGACAUGGAUGACUUCCAAUGAGAAACGACUGCUAAUACUUAUAUAAAUUCAUUACAGAAGGACCCUACCAGACUAUAUUUGAAUACGGCAUACCCAUGAAUUCUGGAACUGUUAUUCCUUAACCCAGUUUGGAGGAUAAGAGCUUACCAACUAGUUAUAAAUAUGCUGAGGUGAUGUAUUGCAAAAUAGCCAACAUACAACAAUAUGGAUGACCCUCUGUCUGGUCAACAGGAGUUUAAAUAUGGACGGGACAGUGAUGUGGCAGCUCUUCCCUGGCUCAUUCACCUCUUACCUUUCAUUUGUGAAAGGAAGAAAGAAGAAAGAGGGUCAAUGUGCAACUGAAGCUACUGAUUGUGCUGUGUGAUGAGAAUCAAUCCAUGCUUUGAGGUGGAUGGAUCAGCACAGCCCUGCCUGCUCUGCGUUGGGAACAGAAGUUGCAUCCAGAAUUUUUGCAUCAUUCUGGACCAAAAAGCCAUUCCCUCCAUGAUGAAGACCACUGAUGCAGCCUUCCACUACAUCAUGAGUAAAACAACUGCAGAACUAAAUACCAGGUUGGAACGUAUUUAAGAAAAAUGAAACGUCUUUUGAAUUGAAAUGUCUGUUUUGUUAUGGAAAAAUCUUUAGUAUUGUGAAGGAUAAGCAUUUCUGCCUGCCAGUAAGGUAAUUGCAGUGUAUUUUAAUGUUCAAGUUUUGAGUAGGGUGGCUAAUUUUUUUUAAACUCUCAUUUGAUAUAUUAAAGACCUUAUAAUAAGUGGUUUUCAUGUCACUGCGCUGUGGUAUAAGAUAACUUUCAUUAUUCCAUACUGUAUUCUGUUUCUAAUUGUAGCUGAGGUAUUUAAAUAAGCAGUGUUAAAUGCAAAGUGUUGUGUGUA